rnacentral:rRNA from 1 species
GUCGUUAACGAACGAGACCUUAACCUGCUAAAUAGCCCGUAUUGCUUUGGCAGUACGCUGGCUUCUUAGAGGGACUAUUGACGUCUAGUCAAUGGAAGUUUGAGGCAAUAACAGGUCUGUGAUGCCCUUAGAUGUUCUGAGCCGCACGCGCGCUACACUGAUGAAGUCAACAAGUUUAUUUCAUCCUUGACCGGAAGGUCUGGGUAAUCUUUUGAAACUUCAUCGUGCUGGGGAUAGUUCAUUGCAAUUAUUGAACUUCAACGAGGAAUUCCUAGUAAGCACAAGUCAUCAGCUUGUGUUGAUUACGUCCCUGCCCUUUGUACACACCGCCCGUCGCUAUUACCGAUUGAAUGGAUCG